rnacentral:rRNA from 1 species
GAUGAACGCUGGCGGCGUGCCUAAUACAUGCAAGUCGAGCGAACAGAUGAGGAGCUUGCUCCUCUGACGUUAGCGGCGGACGGGUGAGUAACACGUGGAUAACCUACCUAUAAGACUGGGAUAACUUCGGGAAACCGGAGCUAAUACCGGAUAAUAUAUUGAACCGCAUGGUUCAAUAGUGAAAGACGGUUUUGCUGUCACUUAUAGAUGGAUCCGCGCCGCAUUAGCUAGUUGGUAAGGUAACGGCUUACCAAGGCAACGAUGCGUAGCCGACCUGAGAGGGUGAUCGGCCACACUGGAACUGAGACACGGUCCAGACGCCUACGGGAGGCAGCAGUAGGGAAUCUUCCGCAAUGGGCGAAAGCCUGACGGAGCAACGCCGCGUGAGUGAUGAAGGUCUUCGGAUCGUAAAACUCUGUUAUUAGGGAAGAACAAAUGUGUAAGUAACUAUGCACGUCUUGACGGUACCUAAGCAGAAAGCCACGGCUAACUACGU